GACCUCGGAUCAGGUAGGGAUACCCGCUGAACUUAAGCAUAUCAAUAAGCGGAGGAAAAGAAACCAACAGGGAUUGCCUCAGUAACGGCGAGUGAAGCGGCAACAGCUCAAAUUUGAAAUCUGGCCUUCGGGUCCGAGUUGUAAUUUGCAGAGGAUGCUUCGAGCAUGGUCUAGUCCAAGUUCCUUGGAAUAGGACGUCAUAGAGGGUGAGAAUCCCGUAUGCGACUGGGUGCCUAGGCUCAUGUGAAGCUCCUUCGACGAGUCGAGUUGUUUGGGAAUGCAGCUCAAAAUGGGUGGUAAAUUUCAUCUAAAGCUAAAUAUUGGCCAGAGACCGAUAGCGCACAAGUAGAGUGAUCGAAAGAUGAAAAGCACUUUGGAAAGAGAGUUAAAUAGCACGUGAAAUUGUUGAAAGGGAAGCGC
rnacentral:rRNA from 1 species